AAGAAAGAAUAUAGUUUCUCUCUCUUCAAUUCACCCGCCCCCAAAUCGAGCCUCUGAAAACCCUAAUUUCUUUUUCAUCAGCUGCAAUACCUCUGCGAUGGAUCAUCAACCGGACCUUCUCCAACCUCGAUCAGCGCAAAAACCUGCGGUGGUCCUUCAAUACGCGCGCAGGCCUCGCCAAUUCGGUUGCCCCGACCGCAGAUCGUCCGGAAACGUGAGGAUUCCGGGUCCUUCCGUGCCGAAGAAGACGAGGGAUCUCCCGAAUCUGUCGCAAUGCCACGCCUGUGGAUCCCGCAUCGACUUGGUCGACGGUAAGAACAGGCUGCAACCCCUGCACAGCGAAUGGCGUAUCGUGCUGCUGUGCAAGAAAUGCCUCAUCCGGGUCGAGUCCUCAGUUGUUUGCUCCUACUGUUUCUCGGAGACUUCGGAUGAGUGUUUCCGCUGUUGCGCGUGUAAGCGCCGGGUGCAUAAAAAUUGCUUCUUGGAGUAUAAGAAUGCGGCCCCGUGGUCGUACUCGUGUUCGGGCUUGGGUUCGGAGUUUUCUGUUUGUGUCGAUUGUUGGCUCCCGAGGUCGAUGGCGAAAUUGAAUGGGGCUUCGAAGAGGAGGAGAAGCGGUGGCAAGACUGACGGGAGGGCUGUGUGUGGAUUAGGACAUUCUAGACUUUUGGAGGAUGGGGAUUGCUGUGUGAUGAAGUGUUUGGAAGAUGUUGUGAAGGAUGCGAAUUGCGUGGUGGAGUUGAAGAAUGCGGCUGCGUGCAAGGCUAAGGAGAAGGCUCAUAAGAAGGCGGUUGUGGCAAAAAGGGCGGUGGAAUUGGCGAGCGAGGCUCUCGAUAUGGUUGCCAACACAGACGAGAGUAGUCUCUUGGCGUGUGAAGAAGGAGGUGGUGAUUGUGAUGAUAAAGUUGUUGACGAUGAGGAAUUGGCUUUUCAGUUGCACCGCUCAAUGAAUAGCUCGCCGAGGAUAUCAAAGAACUUUUGCUCUGUGAAUAAGAGCUGUGCUGAUGUUCCGAGGAUGUGGACCUACGUUAGGAGGGCAAAGGCUGGGGCAUCGGGACCUGGUAAUGCAACCAUUAUUGGGAAGCACGAAAAAUUGGCUUUUCAGUUGCGCCGCUCAAUGAAUAGCUCUUCGAGGAUAUCAGGUAACUGGCACUCUACGAAUAAGAGCUGUGCAGAUGUUCGACUGAUGUGGACGUACGUUAGGAGGGCAUCUGCUAAGGAAUUGAGAUCAGGGAAUGCAAACACUAAUGGGAAGCUUCAGUUUGGCAUGAAUGAGAAGUUUUGUGAGGUCGUCGCUCCAGAUUCUCCUUCCCCAGCACGGAUGCAUGAUGAUAGUAUGAUAAAUUUGACUACCACAGAGGCGGUUGAUGUGAGGUCUAGUGAAAAGCUUGAAGAGUGUGUGGUUAAGUCCGAUGGAGAUGGUGAAAACACAGGACUGCCGUUGGAGGAGGAAGAGGGUAGCUUUUCUAACUUUAUGGGAUCUGAAGGUCAGUUUUGUUGUGAGCACAAUAAGUUCACCAAACCAGAAAACGAAGGAAGUGAUGUAAACUUUGACCGUUAUAUGAUAAAGUAUAGGAAGAGGAGCUUAACCUUAGACAGAGCUCCAGAAAAGAAAUUUCGGUUUGUUUAUGUUAGAAAUCACCUGCGUGCAUUAUGUGCUCUGCAACCUGCCUCACUGUCAGAAUGAUGUCGAGAACGUGCUCUGGUGCUUCAGUCCUACCUUCUGAGGUUUCUAUAGAAGCCUCUACCUGUACAAUUGACUCAUCUGAAGAUCGUUAUUAGUUUCGAGGUCCAUGCAUUUAUCCUGACGAUGAUAACAAUAUGAAAUUCGGCAUGCCAAUAAACGUAGUUGGUAAGAUUUUGUAUUUCAGCAAGCUUUUUGUACAUUAGCUGUUGAUGAGGGGAUUGUGAUGGCUUAGCUUGAUGAAUCACUGUCGUAUUCGUAGAGGUUUUGUGAUACACACUAACUGCUGGAUCUGAGGUAAUCCUUAGUGCGUUCAUGCUGUCAUAAUUGUGGAGAAUGAUAGAUUUGGCUGAUCUAUCAAGCGGCUUUUUGGUUUUUGGGAUAGAGCAAAUGUGUACAUUAACCGUACUAUCAAUGAGAAAGUAAGAGUAUUAUUAAUUGCUUAUUGAGUA